rnacentral:rRNA from 1 species
CCGAGGGUUCACUGUUUUAAGGAAAUUUCCAGUGAAAUUGAAUUUGUAGUGAAGAUGCUACAUCCAAAUUGUUAGACAAGAAGUCCCCAUGGAACUUUACUGGAAACUUAUGAGGCUUAAAUUAAUUUAUUUCUUACAAAUAAAUAGUUUUUAAAUGUGGUGUUAACCUCUUGGAUUAACGAGGGUUAGAAAAGCUCCUCUUUUAUUUUAAGAAAGCCAACUCAAAAUUUUAUGUCUUUGGGAUUAGAUAAGUGGGACAGUUUGGUUGGGGCGACCGCCUUUAAAAAAGUAACGAAGGCGGGCUUAAGAUAUAUUUUUAGUUAUGUCUGACUGCCAAGGGGGAAUCCUGAGCAGGCACUUACUUUUUAGGUGGGUUUAAGUGACCCGUUAAUUUAGGGUGAAAUAGUUAACGAUAAGCA